rnacentral:rRNA from 1 species
AAUCAACGCUGGCGGCGUGCCUAACACAUGCAAGUCGCACGAGAAAGGGUCUUCGGAUCUGAGUAAAGUGGCGCACGGGUGAGUAACACGUGAAUUAUCUACCUUCGAGUGGGGAAUAACUUCGGGAAACCGAGGCUAAUACCGCAUAAUAUCUACGGAUCAAAGCAGUAAUGCGCUUGAAGAGGAGUUCGCGGCAGAUUAGUUAGUUGGCGGGGUAAUGGCCCACCAAGACGAUGAUUUGUAUCCGGCCUGAGAGGGCGCACGGACACACUGGAACUGAAACACGGUCCAGACUCCUACGGGAGGCAGCAGUGGGGAAUUUUGCGCAAUGGGGGAAACCCUGACGCAGCAACGCCGCGUGGAGGAUGAAGUCUCUUGGGACGUAAACUCCUUUCGAUAGGGAAGAUUACGACGGUACCUAUAGAAGAAGCCCCGGCUAACUUCGUGCCAGCCGCCGCGGUAA